AUUUUCCAGUUCCUCUCCUCCGCGACCCCCCACCCUCAGCUAGGGCUCGGCGCCCACCUGCUCCUCUGCCCACGGUCGAAGGAGUGAAUUUCAAAAGUGCUUUUCUUGGCUUCUAAAAAUGUGAGAGGGCGAUCCGCGAGCUUGGGCGCGCUGCCUGCGAGACUGGCGCGCCCACAGGAACCGGCACUCAGGUGACGGGCUGAAACUGGUGCCUGCAGCGACUGCUAUUUUGGCCCAACCAGCCUCUUCAGGCUUCGGCGGUACACGCCCCGGGGGUAGUUACAGUCCUCCUGGCUCUGAUGAGUCUCUGCCCGCGGAAGAUCAAAAAGGCUGAGGUUGGCAAGGGCGUUCCUCCCGCACCCGACGGCUGAGAAGGAAGAUGGGCAGGAUAGGUAGUGGGGAGGGCACAAUCUAGUUAACACUCGGAAUCCUGUCUGAAAUAAAGGAAAAUGCAUGUUCAGACUCCCAAGAGACCCGGAAAACGCGGAGGAUCUGCCAAAAGCAUUCCAAGAAGAGAAGAAACCAACGCCAGGGAGAGAUUCUUUUAUACACAUUAUGGCAGCUGCACAUGGCUUCCGUCAGUAACUGGGGCCAGGGGGUGUGAGGACGGUGACCGGGAGCCAAGGAGAGGGCCACGGGAACCGAACACCGGAGUCCCUAUGGUGUUGCGCUGUGGGAGUCCAAUGUCUAGUCCUGGAGCCUCCGAGAGCGCGCUGGUGGUCCUUUGGGACCUUCCCUUUCGGUAAGGACCCAGAGGAGGGAAGUCGAAUAGGAAUGGAAACCCGAAAAUCGCAGAUAGGUUCGCUUACUAGAGCUGUUUCUAAAACCCACUUAACAGCCAGCUGAGCUUUCAGUGGAGAGACUUCCUUUACUUACACAGUAGUUUGAAAGUUCUGCAGUUUUGUGUUUAUAGAUUUAAUUUUAGAAAGCUAAUGUGUAUGCCACCUUCCAACUGAGCCCCCUGUUCCAGGAUAUCUUCUUUCCAAGAUCCCAGAGAAGGACCCUCAGAAGCACUCUCUGCGGCAACGCCCCCAUCUUAUUUACCUGUGAUUUUACUUCCCUUUAUUAUAAAGAGUAGGCGAAGA
rnacentral:lncRNA from 1 species